rnacentral:rRNA from 1 species
GGAGGGUGCAAGCGUUAUCCGGAUUCACUGGGUUUAAAGGGUGCGUAGGCGGGUAAGUAAGUCCGUGGUGAAAUCUCUGAGCUUAACUCAGAAACUGCCGUGGAUACUAUUUGCCUUGAAUAUUGUGGAGGUGAGCGGAAUAUGUCAUGUAGCGGUGAAAUGCUUAGAUAUGACAUAGAACACCAAUUGCGAAGGCAGCUCACUACACAAUCAUUGACGCUGAGGCACGAAAGCGUGGGGAUCAAACAGGAUUAGAUACCCUGGUAGUCCACGCCCUAAACGAUGAUUACUCGACAUCAGCGAUACACUGUUGGUGUCUGAGCGAAAGCAUUAAGUAAUCCACCUGGGAAGUACGAUCGCAAGAUUG